GUGAAAACACACCACCAGGAGAUUGGACAUGCCCUGUGAAUGAUCCCUUAUUUAUUAUCAUCGAGCCCUCCCUUUUUUUUUUUUUUUCCAUCCUGCCUUAAAAUUAUGGGCUGGAGCAGUUCUCAAGACUAUUUAUUUUAGGGGAGGAAAAUGUUUUCCUUUAACCACAACACUCAUGCAAUAGCAACUGCUGGCAGUUGCCCCAGCAUUUAAGGAAAUAUUGUUGUAAGGCUUUUAUGUUCCGUACUUCAAUCAGCCAGAGCCAGCAGUAUCCCCAUAGAAGGACCCUCAACAGACCAUUUUUAGCAUUUUGCUACAAUUAAACUCCUCUGGUUUUAGCCCUCAGGCAAUUUAGUACCUUUUUACAUAUGCACAUUAUGAACUUUUGACCAGGGUCUAACAGUCAUAUAUUAGAGUGCUGUUCUUGAAAGCGGGCUUAACAAGUUCCUCUGAGUAUUGCACUCAGAGCCAGUUGUGGAAAAGGUAAUUGAAGCAACUUGCAGCGAGGCCAUUCAGAAUCUCAGCGAUGAUCCUAAAUAUUUCUCUCUCUCUCUUGCUUGCUCUCCUUUUUUUUCUUCCCCUCCUGCUUGUUUCCUCUGGAAGCUGGUAGCAAGAGCUUUCAAAGUCUGUGAUUGAUCUUUUAUUCAGUAGCUAACGAGGGCUGUGAUUCUAUUAGCGUGCUACAAGGCAAGAGAGCGGUGAUUUAAUGAAGUGUCUGGCGAGCCGGCCAUAGAUUUAUCCCAUUGUCGCUAAUUUGCAGGGCCACGGUAAGCAUCAAGGAAGCCGCGCUCGCACCGCUAUUAAGCAGGUAUUUCCUUAGUAAAUUGUUGUAAGGUCAGGUACAGUUAUCCGAGCCCUGGCGAUGCCUCCCGUCUUCCGUGCCUGCAGAUGACAGCCUCCGUGCUGAGCGCUCACUGGAGUGGAACCGGGAGAUCAGAGGUCCGACUCCAAGUCGCCCUGAGCAGAGGCAGGAGCAGAUAUUAGGUGACUGGUCGUUUGUUUGGUGUCAUGCGGCAUUAGACAGGGCAGGAUGCGAGGAGCGAACAUGGAGAGGCGAUAAUGGGAGUGUGUGCAGACCAAGCUCACAUCUGGCACGUAAGACGCCUUCAACUCUCUUUUGAGUCUGUGGUUGUAGAAUCUGAUGGGUGAAGUCUUAGCAGGUUCUCACCCUGACCCCUGAACCUUGGCGAUUCUAAUGCUUAGUUCGCUCCCGGGCUGUUUUGUGUUAGGUUAGUUAUUUUCGGUUAAGUGAAGAGCU
rnacentral:lncRNA from 1 species